rnacentral:lncRNA from 1 species
GUGCUGAGUCCAUGGGAACCUUUCAUGGUCUUUGGUGCUAACCCAUUGCAUACUUCUGAGUCCAGCUCCUUGCAGUGGCCUCAUACUUGGCUCUGUCUGUCUUGUACAUGUGGGCAAUUUCUGGAACCAAUGGAUCGUCUGGGUUUGGAUCCGUUAACAGCGAGCAGAUUGAUAGCAAUACCUGUUGAAUAAAACAGCAAACCUAUCCUUAACUUGCUCAGAUCAAAGAAGAUUGGAAAAAGAACUCAAAGGGGAAAAAGAGAUUUGAUGUUGUACCUACUUUCAGUUUAUGCAAACAAAAGAUGGUGAAUUCAUGGACGAGUUGUUCAUUUCAGACAUGACUCAAUAAUUUCUACAAUAAGGGUUCUGAUUACAUUUGGCAUUCAAGAAACCAAAUGGAGUUGCCUAACAUGAAGCCAAAUGGCAACCAUGUUUUGGAGAUGGGCUACAGUGGAUAUCUCCUGGUUUGAGUUAGGUGUGCCCGUGACUCGACCGAUAGACCUUACAAUGACUAAAGUGAAGUUGUAUAAUGGCAUAGAGGCUUAUUUAAAAUGCUCCUUUAAUAUGAGCACUUCUUGGUCUGACUAUUUACAGUCAUUACUCUGAUGAAAGGCACAUGCUGAGUAUACAACUUUGUAAAUGAUAAACACUAUGACAGAAGGGAAAAAAGUAACCUUAGAAAUAGUUAAAGCUGGACUCCAUUGCUCCUUCAAGAUAUCAAGGCAAAUGCUUCCAUUGCUAUUGAUGUUUGGAUGGAAAACCUUGGUCCUGAAAGCAACCUGCAGAACACAAACAUGUAAGUUGGAAAAACGGUCCAAACAAGAACCAUUUCAUUUUAUUAUUACACUAUUAGGCACCUCACCAGGUAGACUGGUAGUUGUGUGUGUCCUCUGUUCCAAAACAAAUGAAAGGUGGAAAAUUGUAUUCAUAAUUCAUAUACAGUGAAACACUUGUCCCAAGAAUUAAGGUUAUAUUUUCCUUGAGAAAAGAUCUUCAUACUAUUAUUUGCAACCAAACAAAACUGGCUCCCGUUAGGCCAUCUAAAAAUAAAUCUAUCGUCUUUGGAAAAAUAAAUGAACAGGUCUACAUGAGGUAUAUUUCUCUAAUCUUCCACUAAACCUUGUUCUCCAGACCUUAAAUGUCUUCAGCAUCAUCUAAGUCACAGAAAGUUAUGUGGUAAAGCAAAUUAAAAUCUAUAUCAAGUCAAAGUUGCAAGAACUGGAAUUCACUCAUUUUCAUAUGAACACAAAGAACUUCAGUAAUUGUUUGCUAAGGCUAACAUUGACAAUGCAGGAAACUUAAAUGUGUAAAAAGCUACAAUAACAUGGUUUUGAAACCUUACUACAGAAAGUAGGCUUCUCUUCGUUGAACUUUCAAUUUUUUUUUCUAAGCAAAAUCACUGGAAAUAGGAGGAAAAGGAGAGGAAGUCGGAUGUCCUUUUCCAUCUCCGGUCUGAUAGCUGGUCUUUAAGAAGAGGACAAAGGAAAAUACCCUCGUAGCCAGUAAGUCCCCUCAUUUCUUCUUUCCUUCAUGUCUUCUUUAUUUUUUAUUUUUUAUUUUCCCCACUGGUAUAAAGCAGCAGUAUAUGGAUGGUCGUAACACACUGGUCUGACAAAUCCGGUACCCAACACAAAAAGCAUCUUGAACUGUUAGCAAGCUAGAAACGACUUGCAUGCACAACUAUAAUUACUAAGAAUGUUUUUUUGUUGUGAAUCAAAAGCAGCAUUCACAUAAGACAGAUUAUAACAUACCCCAUAUAGCUGAAACCUUUAAUAACUGAUACACAGCUUUUAGAAUAGGAUUUAGGAUAUAUGCUUAAAGCAUUUAAUUAUAUUGUAUUUCAUCUGAAAAAAAUAGAACUGCUGUGUAUGGCUUGAAGUCAUUGGUUGAGCUUAAUGUUCAAAUCCAUCUCAACUCUAAAAUUAUAGUUAAACCAAAGCUUCAGCUCCACAACAGAAUUUCCAGCUUAUUUUGAGCAUGAUUUAGCUUGUUUUGAGGUGAGCUUGAUUACCUUCCUAGCAAGCACCACAUGGUAUUACAUAGGAAAUAUGUUGAAUAGAAGUACAUGGUUGAAUGUACAGAUAACGUCACAUUAGUCAUGUAAUAGCAAGCAAUAGUGAAUGUCAAUAUACAAAUUGAAUAGGUAAUCAGAAUUCAUAAUUACAAUCAUGUUCAUGAGGUUGUUGGGUAAAUAAAGAAAUGCUUUACACAGUGAAACUAUAGAACACAUGCCAAAAGAAAAAAAAAAUUCUAUGGCAGACUUGACAAAGGAGAAAAAACAACUCUAGUCCUAGAAAUUCCAUAUUACCAAUACCUUUGGUGGUUUGAAUGGAUAAUCUGGAGGGAAGUGUAUAGUAACUAGAAAGACUCCCCCUGCAUAUGGACUGUCAGGUGGGCCCAUUAUCGUUGCUUGCCAAUGGAACAUAUCUUCAGCCACUGGACCUGUACAAUGCCAAUACAAGCAAAAUCUUGUUAUCAGAUAAGGGAUCAUCAUUGUAAGUCUACAACUGUGGCAUGAUUUCAAAACUUAAAUAAGUUCACUAAGCAACCAUAUCUUCAAGGCACGCUAGCACGCCGUAUGAUGUGGCAUGUGUAACAUUCUUUUAUCAACUUAAAAUCUAGAAAUCACCAGCAUUUAAGCAUUGAAGAACAAAGAUGAUAGGAAAAGAAAACAUAUACCGGCAAAUUAAAUUCAAAUGAAAAAAAUGAUUAUUAUGACUCUAACUCAUUGAAUAAUUUACUGAAUUGUACCAUUCGACAGAUAUGAAUUGACAAAGACAUCCCUGAAGAAAAUUGCAAAGUACAUCGUUCUGUGUCCUUUCCACGAUAAUAAAGUUGAUCGAGCUUAUAAGGAUUAGUAUGGUAUUGCAAAUCCAAAUCACAUUCUAGAAACCUUUUAGUCCAAUAUUAUUGAUGUGAAUAUAAGCAUAAACCCAGUAUACUGAAGGAAAGAUUAGGAAGCCUAUGUCGGGCUAUUAUGGGGUGUCCUGACUUGCAUUUCUGUCUCGUUUGAAUUCUUUUCUGCCUUACUCAAUUUUGCUUGAGAUGCAUGAACUUUUCAGCUGGGUCUUUUUUAAAGCAGCCUUUUCGAAAAUUGUUGUCCUGAAUUGUGAUCGCUGUCUAUAGCCAUACAAAAUAAAAUAUAUAUGGGUACACUUUCAGCCUGGUAUAAACAUAAUACAUAAGCAGAAGGAAAGUAGGAUUUGAUGAAUUCGAGCCACGAUUUACAUGAUGCUGAAAUCUCAACACCAAAAAACCAGUAAGGAUAUAGCUUUUCGAACAAAAAACUAGCAACCAAGAGGACUAGCAGCAACAAGAAGGCCUAACGACAGAGCACAGCAUCCUGAUCGAGAUGCAUAAUCAGAAUCCACCUCCUAACAGAGGUAAAAAUCGCAGGAAAAAGAUGGAGCAACCUAGGCGUCGGAAUCCGAGAUACCUGCGCUGCACGACGUGGGGGGAUCCUUCUGAAGAUCCUUUAGCUCCUUGAGGAUCCGCUUGGAAGCCAUGGCCGAAGGACCUCGCACUGUUCCCACCAAACCCCCAACGAACAAAGAUCGAUCAGAAAGAACAAAACAACAAGCGGGAAGAAGAGAUCGAUCGAAAAGGGGAAGGAAUAAACCAGAAAGAAAAAAAAAAGAAGGAGAGAUCGAGCAAGGGAGAGAAAAAAAGUAGGAUAUGUUCUUAAAUUCGAGGGCACGUUACCG